rnacentral:lncRNA from 1 species
CUGAUCUGCAUGUGUUCCAACAAAAUUCUAUUGUAGCGUGGCACGGUGGAUGUCGCAGCAUAUUGCAAGAUUUCACAAACACUAGAGGUCGCUCGCUCGCUCGUUCGCCACAUCGAUCUGGUAGACUGCUAUACAUUAUACGCAUGCAUACGGUCCCGGCCCGUAUAUCCAUAUAUACAUCAAGAACACGUAAUAGCUAAGCUUGUAGGUGGAAACCGCGGUAGCCAGAGUUAUACGUAGCCACGGAACACGUACCAGCCGGUGCCUCUCCGGCGUGGUUUGCAUUGCGUGGCAUGUGUACGUGCCGCUCAGGAGUUGCCGGUGGCGAUCCGGGCGACGUGGAACUGCGGCGUGUAGUUCUGCGCUCUGCUGGCCGGCUCCUCCUGCGGCGGCUCGUUCAGGAAUGCCCAGUUGCUCCGCGUCCACCAGUCGCGGCUCUUGCUGGGGCUGUCAGCGGCGGCGCCGUCGUCGUCACCGGGGAGGAAGCCGUCCACGCGGACCCG